rnacentral:rRNA from 1 species
UCUCAGUUCGGAUUGGAGUCUGCAACCCGACUCCAUGAAGCUGGAUUCGCUAGUAAUCGCGCAUCAGCCACGGCGCGGUGAAUACGUUCCCGGGCCUUGUACACACCGCCCGUCAAGCCAUGGAAGCCGGGGGGUGCCUGAAGUGUGCAGCCGCAAGGAGCGCCCUAAGGUAAAACCGGUGACUGGGGCUAAGUCGUAACAAGGUAGC